rnacentral:rRNA from 1 species
CCUACGGGAGGCAGCAGUGGGGAAUAUUGCACAAUGGGGGAAACCCUGAUCCAGCGACGCCGCGUGAGUGAAGACGUAUUUCGGUAUGUAAAGCUCUAUCAGCAGGGGAGUAAAUGACUGUACCUGAUUAAGAAGCCCCGGCUAACUACGAGCCAGCAGCCGCGGUAAUACGGAGGGGGCCAGCGUUAUCCGGAUUUACUGGGUGUAAAGGGAGCGUAGACGGCAGCACAAGUCUGGAGUGAAAUGUCGGGGCUUAACCCCGGAACUGCUUUGGAAACUGUGCAGCUAGAGUGCAGGAGAGGUAAGUGGAAUUCGUAGUGUAGCGGUGAAAUGCGUAGAUAUUAGGAAGAACACCAGUGGCGAAGGCAGUUUACUGGACUGUAACUGACGCUGAGGCUCGAAAGUGUGGGGAGCAAACAGGAUUAGAUACCCCAGUAGUC